GAUCCCAGGGGUUUUCUCCAGGGAGGUGGAAGAUGUAGAUCAAACCAGCAGGCGGAUGCGGGAUUUGGACCUGGGUUUUCUGUAUCCCAGUGCACUGAUAUCCCAACAACAGGCAGAAGAGAAGACUAAGCCAAGAGGCAUCAUCAUGGAAAUCAAACAAGAUGGCGUGGGAUAGGCCAUGUGCAAAACUGGUGAUAUUUCGGGAACCAACUGGGAAAAGGAGAAGAGGAAAGUGGAUGUGACAUGGAAGAGGGCAGUAGAGACAUGGAAGUGGAUGGCAGAGAAUAUGAAAAAUGAAGGAAUUUGGAAUGGGUCAAUGUCAGAAAGAAAAGCAGCUGACAGAGGGUUGGAGACACUUCCUUGUAGGCUCCAUUUGGUAUAAAGGAUACUAAGUAAGCCAACAAGCACUUUGUAUUGUUCAGCAGGUAUUGCAAACAGAAUAUAUUUAAGGCAAAAAUUAUACUCUGUUUUGUUGUGCACAAAGUUGAUGUGGCCUUUUCCAUACUGUUCAUACUGGUGAUAUUGUAGCAGAAAGCCCCCUUUUUCUCUUGCCUGCAUUUGCUCUCCCCUCUUUGGAUAUGUUUCUCUUUUUCUACCUUUUCUUCCUUCUUCUCUCUUUCACUUUAAGAUAAGGAAUUGUGUUUUAAAAUUUGUAUGUGUGCAUUUUGUAUCUCCCCUUGUAGUUUGGUAUUUUUAUCUAUUUGUGUGCCAUGGCAUUUGUAGCUUAUAUUUUAUACUCCUCACCUUUCAACUUUCAACUGAAUAUGUUUAGUUUCAUAAGUAAAUUAUACAUUGUAACAAUGUUAACAAGGGCAGGAAUCAAACUGCCCUUCCCUGUAUUAGGCUGGCCUCUGAAAGAGGGAGUGAAUCAGUGAUUGAAUGUGUAACAUAGUAGCAGGCAGCAAUUAUCACCUGGAAGCUGCAGAUCAACCAACAGAAGAACUCAAUAGAAGACAAUGUAACAACCAGGAAAUCUCUAAAUGUCACUGAUCAAGGGCUAGAAGCCCUGGCCUGAGUUAAUCAACGCCAGAGACCAACUUUUGGGCUGAAUAUCUCCAGAUCGACCACUCCCAGAGCCCUAUUCUAAAUUCAUCAACGGACUCCCAAACCUGCACGUACAUGCGGACGACCCCUGGGGCUGACAGAUGCUGUCCAGUAGCUACCGAGGGGGGGGGGGGGAAGUCCCACGAGGGUCAAUGACCCCUGGAUUGGGCAAACCUGAAAACUGGGGAGUCACCAAAGUCUGCCAGGGACAGAUAAAAGGCAGUGAAAAGUGACCCUCAGGGGCGCCCUCUUGAUCUCCAACUCGACCAGACCUGUCCAGACAGAAGGACCAGCCGGCGACCCCCUUCUGGAAGAUAACACCACGCUGAAAGAAGCCUCAGUGACAGACUCCAGCACUUGUAGGAUAGGUAUACCUGACUCUGUAGCCUGCUACUGUGUGUGUGUAUGUGUGUGCAUGUGUGUGUGUGUGGGGACCAGCCCCAAGGUUUAUGAUUACAGUGUUUCAAUCCGCUUAAUAAACUAGAAUUUUAAGGA